rnacentral:rRNA from 1 species
CUUCUCCUAGGUGCAGCCUGAACACACCUAAUCUCAUCUGCUCUUAGAAAGUAAGUAGGGUCAGGCCUGGAUAGCACUUGGAUGGGAGAAGU